rnacentral:rRNA from 1 species
UACAGAGGUCCCAAGCGUUGUUCGGAUUCACUGGGCGUAAAGGGUGCGUAGGUGGCCAGGUAAGUUCGGUGUGAAAGCUCGGAGCUUAACUCCGAAAUGGCAUUGAAUACUAUCUGGCUAGAGGGUCGGAGGGGAGACUGGAAUUCUCGGUGUAACAGUGAAAUGCGUAGAUAUCGAGAGGAACACCAGUGGCGAAGGCGAGUCUCUGGACGACUCCUGACACUGAGGCACGAAAGCCAGGGGAGCAAACAGG